UACGAGAGGCGCAAACGUUAUUCGGAAUUACUGGGCUUAAAGAGUUCGUAGGCGGCGCAGAAAGUAGGGUGUGAAAGCCCUCGGCUUAACCGAGGAAUUGCGCCCUAAACUACUGUGCUUGAGGAACCUAGAGGUGAGCAGAACUGAUGGUGGAGCGGUGAAAUGCGUUGAUAUCAUCAGGAAUACCGGAGGCGAAGGCGGCUCACUGGGGGUUUUCUGACGCUGAGGAACGAAAGCCAGGGGAGCGAACGGGG
rnacentral:rRNA from 1 species